GUGAAUAUUAGGGCGUCUACUUCGGUAGGGCCUGACCUCCACUUUCUAACUCUGUGCACUUAUUUGGCGGAAAAGGGAAUUAGUAAUCUGUCUAAUGACGAUUGCGACUUCUUACUUUCUGCGGCUUACUUUAAACACUAGUCAAAGUAUGUAACGAAAUAUCGAAACAAAUAA
rnacentral:misc_RNA from 2 species